CACAACAUUUGGAUUUGGAGUAAGGCACAUCAGUGCUGCAACAAGGAUACAAAGGAAUAGCAGGAAAAAGAGAGAAAAAGGGAAAGAUUAUUCUGUGGCUGGGCACAGCUUUCAUGAAACCACGUGAGCCUGAAAGAAUGCAAUAUUUCUAUGAAGCUCUGUUAAUUUUUUUCUU